CAAAAACAUGUCCUUUUGUUAAUAAUUUAAGGUCAGGCCUGCCCAAUGAUUAUUUUGAAUGGCCGCAGUAUUUUGACUGUGCAAAGGUAGCAUAAUCAUUAGUUUCUUAAUUAGGAGCUGGAAUGAAUGGUUUGAUGAAAAAUUGGCUGUCUCAAUUUAAAUGAUUUUGAAUUUUAUUUUUAAGUGAAAAAGCUUAAAUUUUUUAUAAAGACGAGAAGACCCUAUAGAGUUUUAUAGUUAUUUUUAUUAAUUUUUUGAGGUUUUAUUUUAUUUUUAUAGGGGUGACUAUUUUGUUGGGGUGAUAUUAAAAUUUAAUAAACUUUUAUUAUUGGGUACAUUAAUUUAUGAUUUGUUGAUCCUAUUGUUUAGAUUAAAAGAGAAAAUUACCUUAGGGAUAACAGCGUAAUUUUUUUGGAAAGUUCUUAUUGAUAAAAAAGUUUGCGACCUCGAUGUUGGAUUAAAAUUUAGUUUGGGUGUAGAAGCUUGAAUAUUAGGUCUGUUCGACCUUUAAAAUUUUACAUGAUCU
rnacentral:rRNA from 1 species